rnacentral:tRNA from 1 species
GGGACAUAAGUUGGUUUCAACAUCUAAGUUGCAUUUAGAAGAUGAAUAUUUAUAUAUUCAUGUCUUA